CGGAUCAAGGGCACGUAGGCGGUGAAUCGGGUUGAAAGUGAAAGUUGCCAAAAAGUGGUGGAAUGCUCUCGAAACCAAUUCACUUGAGUGAGACAGAGGAGAGUGGAAUUUCGUGUGUAGGGGUGAAAUCCGUAAAUAUACGAAGGAACGCCAAAAGCGAAGGUAGCUCUUUGGGUCCCUACCGACGCUGGGGUGCGAAAGCAUGGGGAGCGAACAGGAUUAGAUACCCUGGUAGUCCAUGCCGUAAAAAUAUACUAACUAGACAAUCACUCAAGCUAAGUCCCG
rnacentral:ncRNA from 1 species